UCUUGCCCUAGCUACUCCCGAUACCCCUUGCCUUCGUCUCCGGCGCUGCCCUUGCCUUCGUCUCCGGCGCUGCCCCCAUCUCCCUCCUCUCCGGCGGCUGAAAGCCACGAAUCGGACUUCCUUGACGCCAACGGCCACGUUCCAGAAGGCCUACCUCCUCUCCGGCGUCGACCGACCGACCCCAACGCGCGCUCCGCCCGAGGGCUCCGGCGAUCCGGAGAUCUCCGUCUCGAUCUCCGCCGGCGUCUCCCUAGUCGGGUCCCCGUUCCUUCUACCGAUCGGAUAUCGGCUUGCUGUCUUAAUCGCCGGCUUGAUCGCUAGCUUGCCGUCGGAGAAAAGCUCGUCGGCGGGCGAUCGAGGUCGCGCUCCUCUACUUCCUGGUUACUGGUAUUAGUGAAAAAACUGCCAGCAGCUUUUUGGGCACCUGAGAGUCAAGAAAUUGCAUAGAAAGCACCAGCAGCUUUGGAGCACAAGCUUGCAAAAGGAGAUUUUUGGAGCAAGAACUUGUUGAAGAAGAAAUUUAAGGAACAUGGUUUCCAAAAUCUUACUUCACCAGUUCCUAGUGUGGUUGAAUGAGUUCAGUUUGGCAAGUGAAGGAGAAAACGAGGGAUCCAUUCAAUCAUUUUUUUUUCUUUAAAAAAAAAAGAAAAAAAAACAAAGAUGAGUGUUUCUUAUGGGAAUAACUUUGAGGUGCCGUCCCUAUUCCGGGUUUUGUGAAUGCAUACUUUUUCUCCAGAUUUUUGGUUCUCUGCCAUAACAUGGUAUGACUUUUAACAAUGUGCGGUGAAAUUCUUACAAAUUCUAGCUUUUAAAGGUUAUGUUUUCCUCUUUGGAGUUUCAGUUAAUUUUCGGCCAUUGCAGCAAUUUCAAUGAAUAUUUUUUUAUUCUUUUUCCUCCCUUCUGGGAUCUGUGCAUGUCAGACUGAUUCAUUUUUUUUUUUCCAAAGCAGAGCUUUCUAUAUCAUUUGUCCAAAGGAGUUGCCCAUUGUCAUAGCCAUGGUGUGCUUCACAGGGAUUUGAAACCUCAAAAUCUUUUGGUUGACAAAGAGAAAGGCAUCUUGAAGAUUGCUGAUCUUGGGCUAGGAAGAACCUUUACCAUCCCUCUUAAGAGCUACACCCACGAGAUUGUCACACUUUGGUAUAGAGCUCCUGAGGUUCUGCUGGGAACCACACACUACUCAACUGGAGUUGAUAUGUGGUCAGUUGGAUGAAUAUUUGGAUGAAUAUGUGGUCAACAUCUCCCCGGAAUCAUCGUCUGUCGGGGAGUCAAUUUGCUCUCUUCGUUUUGCUGCAAGGGUUAAUUCAUGUGAGAUUGGGAUUCCCCGUCGCCAGACCUAGAUGCGUCCUUCAGACUCGCGCUUGAGCUAUGGUUAAGCAACCUGGCAACUACUGUGCAUCCUCUUGCUCCAUAUGAUUACCCGUUGCUGCAGCCGUUAUGGCAUAUUUAAUGACUAUUAGGCUUCUAACAUUGUCUGUCUGUAACCAAUACCAAGGAAAUGAAAUCAAUGUUGUGUUGUUGUUGAAUUUGUAGAGGGAAGGCAUUAUGUUGAUUGUGGUAAUAUUCGUAUCAAAAUUCCUUCUCACUGACGUUAUCUCUCUUAUAAUUGAAUCAAAUUUUUACAUGAACGAUUCCAAAAUCAA